rnacentral:lncRNA from 1 species
UUCGCGUCUCUCUCUUCUAUUCUUCUUCCUACCCAGAUCGACCAAAGCAAAACUCUCUCUUCUUCUCCCUCUUUCCUUCUGGUCUCUCUCUUCCUAAUUCCCACAUCUCACAAAACAUCAAAAUCCCAAAUUAAUCAAAACAGGUAAAGAGAGAAAGGAACAACCUCUACAACAUCAAAAUCCUAGAUUAAUCCCAGAUCUUCUUUUAAAAUUAUUUUUCACUCCUCUCUGAUUCUUUCUCAUCCCUCUCUUUCAUCAUAUCCAGUACCCAAAAUGAAGCAAAACUUAUAGUCUUAGCCCAAGUUUCACAGAUAAAAUAAGAAAGCAAGAAAUGUCUCACACCCAUUCCUCUCCCUAUAAUUCUUCGUUUUUGGCUUCUGGGUUUUCUGUAAUAGUCCCUCUGUGAUCGAUCUGAUGAAGAAGAUGAAAGGGGUUGUUGCUCUAUCUUAGAAUUCAAGGGCCAGAUUUCAUAGAUUUGGAUGUUUAUGUGAUCGAUCUCCCUAUAAUUCUUCGUUUUUGGCUUCUGGGUUUUCUGUAAUAGUCUCUCUGUGAUCGAUCUGAUGAAGAAGAUGAAAGGGAAGAAUGAGUCAUGGGGUUUGGAUAGAGAUGAUGAAGCACGAGAAAGAUAG